GACACCAGUCUGAUUCGCACCCAUCUCGGUGAACUAAUCCUUUGCAGAGGCCGCAGGCCUGGCACAGUCCAAGAAGGGGAGUGAGGCGAAAAGCACAUUUGUGUUCGAUCUGAAAAUGUGGUUCGGAAGCGCCGUUAGGAUGAGGCUGUGACGCAAUUGCCAUACGGAGACCAAAUUGAGCUCCGCACCGCGUCGCCCAAAUGUUGUAACAAUGCUCCGGUAUAGCUCCGCAUUGACAUGAUCGGUUGACGGUAGUAGGUGAGGGCAGGAAGUCCUGUACAACAGCUCUGCUCAGCGAAGCCCUGACUUCAGCAGUGGCCGUAUCGCAGUAAAUGCUUCUACGGCCACUACUGCAACAACAGAAAAAAAUCAGAUUAUACAUGCAGAGCAUUAAAAAAAAAGGUUUCUGCAUGGAUAAUCCCACGACUGCAGUGGGCCGUACAGCAUUUACGGCGAUACCGUCUCUGCAGCAGUCAAGGGCAUUCGUACUACUUGCGCUUCGCUGAGGAAAGCAUGUUUAAAAUGUACUGACUGACAAGGUCUCUAAAUCUAUUGGUCAUCAGAGUACCACUGCUAAAUCUGAGGGGAGUAUAGAGGAGUACUGGAACUGAAUUAUGAAUACAGCGGGUUAGGUCUGUGAAUAGAGGAGACGUUGUGGAAAACGGACUGACUGAAAAUACGUCGCUACUGGCGUUGUACAGAUGGCAGAGUGAAAUGUAAGAGAACUGAAUCGGGGAUGAGGGAGGACGGGGAACGAGUGAACACAACUAGGACGAGGAGAAUAAAAAUGGGCCAACUUUCCUCCCUCCAUUAGCCAACGUCCUUAGGGACUGAUGACAUCAUUCCAUCACUUCCUGCCUCCAACCCCAUGUCGCCAUCAUCCCGAAGAGCAGAGCCCAGAAGCCAUUGUGUGUGUGGUGUGUUUGAUUGUAUAUUCUGACUUCAAAAAGGUCUGAUUUGGAUUAUUUUUUUUU
rnacentral:lncRNA from 1 species